GUAAUCUCAUAGGAUGGUGACUCUGAAAGUCUCUGGCUAGAGCAGGGAUGAAUAGUAGAAAUAGUUUCUACUGGUUCAUCAACCGAGUCAUCAUCAUCAUCAGAUUGAGAUACAUAUAGUUAGGUAUUUAGGUUUGACAUAUUUUCAUACCCAUGGUCUUUCUGGGAAGUUGUAUGAUCGAAGGAUUGAAUUGCACGGUAUCUCACCAC
rnacentral:lncRNA from 1 species